rnacentral:tRNA from 1 species
UCAUCGGAGAUUCAGUGGUAGAAUGCUCGCCUGCCACGCGGGCGGCCCGGGUUCGAUUCCCGGCCAAUGCA